rnacentral:rRNA from 1 species
UACGGAGGCCGCGAGCGUUACGCGGAGUCAUUGGGCGUAAAGCGUGUGUAGGCGGUCAGGCAAGCUGGGUGUGAAAGCGCCAGGCUCAACCUGGGGAUGGCAUGGAAGACUGCGGGGCUGGAGGUCGGUAGAGGACUGCGGAACUCCAGGUGGAGCGGUGAAAUGUGUAGAUAUCUGGUGGAACGCCAGUGGUGAAGACAGGGCGCUGGGCCCGCCCUGACGCUGAGACGCGAAAGCGUGGGGAGCGAACGGG